rnacentral:lncRNA from 1 species
GACUUAAGAGCUUUUCAUAGUUUUGUGAGUUCGCGUUUGGUUAAGUUUUAGUCUUUUUAGGGGGAUCUUCUAACCGAAAGAUAAGCAGAUUUAGAUUGUUGUUAUGGAGAGCUUGUUGUUAUGGAGAGUUUGAGAGCGAUCAGGAAUUCAUCGUGAUGUACCUGUUAUCAUUUGAGUAUUAUGAUGGCACCGUCGAAGUUUUAUGGUGGGUCUGGUCGUACACCACUUUGUUGGACCAAAGUGGGGGAGCAAUAUGAGUUAGAACUAUUAAUGGUUCAAGAGACGGUAGAGCAAAGGACAUGCUCAAGGAUUAGCUUUCGGAAGCCCAUGACGUCAGAGGAUUUAUGCAGCUAAGCACCGUGAGGAUUUGGAGCUACAUAUGGGCAUACCUUAAAAUAAGGACAUUUCAGGAGGGACCUAAGACUCAGAAGAUAAAGGAGCUUAAACCGAGACACAUGGAAUUGUAUCCUUCACUGGAGUAGAUUGGAUUAGUUGCUUGCUAUUACUUUAUCAGCAGUAUAUCAGCCUUCUAGGACUUGGUUCAUAUGACAGCAUUGCAAAAGUUGAGAAUGCGCUAUAAUUAUUUUGCAGUAGACUAAGUCAGGGUAAGAUGUCUAUCAGGGAGUAUGAGGUUGUGUUUAACCAACUUCGCAGGUUUGCUGGAGAGGGCAUUUUAGAGGAAGACCUGAUGAGGAAAUUUCUGAAUGGGAUGCGAGUAGAGAUUCGCAACAGGUGCCGUGUCGCCACUUAUCACAGAUUGGGAGACUUGGUGGAGAAAGCUGCCGAGCAGGAGGCAGGUUUGGCAGAGGAGCAGAAGUACACCAAGGCAGAUCAGCCUAAGUUUGGAGGGAAUUUAGAGGCACAACAGAGGACAUGGGACAAACCGAGCAUACAAUGCUUUUAUUGUGGAAAGAUGGGACAUAAGAGUAGGGUUUGUCGGAGUAGGCUAUUUGAUGCCCAGGUUGCGCCACCAGCAGCGGCAGCAGCACCAGUAGUGGAUGUUAGGAACUGUUUUGGUUGUAACCAGCCUGGUCACAUUUUCAGAGACUGUCCGAGGAGGGGUAAUGCAGCGCUUCCACCACCACCGAAGCGUUUAGCCAUCGCUCCACGUGUGUUUACGGUUGGAGAUCCCCAGGGAGCUGAGCCGAUAGCGGGUAUGUUCUUAUCAUACUUGCUUGUGUUAAUAUUUGUGGUUUUGUGGUUAUCUUGUAUAGUUCGAGAUUAGUGAAUCUCGCGUAUGAUUGGUUGUGGUUGGUGUGAGUUACCUCACGGCUUAUUUGACUUAAGAGCUUUUCAUAGUUUUGUGAGUUCGCGUUUGGUUAAGUUUUAGUCUUUUUAGAGGGAUCUUCUAACCGAAAGAUAAGCAGAUUUAGAUUGUUGUUAUGGAGAGCUUGUUGUUAUGGAGAGUUUGAGAGCGAUCAGGAAUUCAUCGUGAUGUACCUGUUAUCAUUUGAGUAUUAUGAUGGCACCGUCGAAGUUUUAUGGUGGGUCUGGUCGUACACCACUUUGUUGGACCAAAGUGGGGGAGCAAUAUGAGUUAGAACUAUUAAUGGUUCAAGAGACGGUAGAGCAAAGGAUAUGCUCAAGGAUUGGCUUUCGGAAGCCCAUGACGUCAGAGGAUUUAUGCAGCUAAGCACCGUAAGGAUUUAGAGCUACAUAUGGGCAUACCUUAAAAUAAGGACAUUUCAGGAGGAGCCUAAGACUCAGCAGAGGAUCAGUUAUCUAUCAUGUUAUUUUUGAGCUUGCUUUUGCCGGAGUGGAAAUGAGGCAUGGUGAUUAUGGACAUUGUUAUUGGAUUUUAAAUCACCAUAUGUGGAAAGGAUGCCACAUGGGUAGUCAUGGAUAGACUUACCAAGUCAGCCCAUUUCCUAAGUAAUUAA